rnacentral:rRNA from 1 species
GAUGAACGCUGGCGGCGUGCCUAAUACAUGCAAGUCGAGCGAACGGACGAGAAGCUUGCUUCUCUGAUGUUAGCGGCGGACGGGUGAGUAACACGUGGAUAACCUACCUAUAAGACUGGGAUACUUCGGGAAACCGGAGCUAAUACCGGAUAAUAUUUUGAGCCGCAUGGUUCAAAAGUGAAAGACGGUCUUGCUGUCACUUAUAGAUGGAUCCGCGCUGCAUUAGCUAGUUGGUAAGGUAACGGCUUACCAAGGCAACGAUGCAUAGCCGACCUGAGAGGGUGAUCGGCCACACUGGAACUGAGACACGGUCCAGACUCCUACGGGAGGCAGCAGUAGGGAAUCUUCCGCAAUGGGCGAAAGCCUGACGGAGCAACGCCGCGUGAGUGAUGAAGGUCUUCGGAUCGUAAAACUCUGUUAUUAGGGAAGAACAUAUGUGUAAGUAACUGUGCACAUCUUGACGGUACCUAAUCAGAAAGCCACGGCUAACUACGUG